ensembl:snoRNA
UGUGUGUGUGUGUGCUUUUGUUCCGCUGGUGGAAAAAGGCAUGGAAGACAGGUUAAAAAAACAAAACAAAAAACAAAAGCACUCUUUUGCAACCCAGAACUCAUUGUUCAGUAUUAGUUUUUAUAGAUACAAGAAUGGCAUAUG